UACGAAGGGGGCUAGCGUUGCUCGGAAUCACUGGGCGUAAAGGGUGCGUAGGCGGGUCUUUAAGUCAGGGGUGAAAUCCUGGAGCUCAACUCCAGAACUGCCUUUGAUACUGAAGAUCUUGAGUUCGGGAGAGGUGAGUGGAACUGCGAGUGUAGAGGUGAAAUUCGUAGAUAUUCGCAAGAACACCAGUGGCGAAGGCGGCUCACUGGCCCGAUACUGACGCUGAGGCACGGAAAACGUGGGGAGCAAACAGG
rnacentral:rRNA from 1 species